CAUGCAGUCGAACGGCAGCACGGGAGCAAUCCUGGUGGCGAGUGGCGAACGGGUGAGUAAUAUAUCGGAACGUGCCCAGUCGUGGGGGAUAACGUAGAGAAAUUUACGCUAAUACCGCAUACGAUCUAAGGAUGAAAGCGGGGGAUCGCAAGACCUCGCGCGAUUGGAGCGGCUGAUAUCAGAUUAGGUUGUUGGUGAGGUAAAAGCUCACCAAGCCGACGAUCUGUAGCUGGUUUGAGAGAACGACCAGCCACACUGGGACUGAGACACGGCCCAGACUCCUACGGGAGGCAGCAGUGGGGAAUUUUGGACAAUGGGCGAAAGCCUGAUCCAGCAAUGCCGCGUGCAGGAAGAAGGCCUUCGGGUUGUAAACUGCUUUUGUACGGAACGAAAAGGUCUGCCCUAAUACGGCGGGCUCAUGACGGUACCGUAAGAAUAAGCACCGGCUAACUACGUGCCAGCAGCCGCGGUAAUACGUAGGGUGCGAGCGUUAAUCGGAAUUACUGGGCGUAAAGCGUGCGCAGGCGGUUAUAUAAGACAGUUGUGAAAUCCCCGGGCUCAACCUGGGAAUUGCAUCUGUGACUGUAUAGCUAGAGUACGGUAGAGGGGGAUGGAAUUCCGCGUGUAGCAGUGAAAUGCGUAGAUAUGCGGAGGAACACCGAUGGCGAAGGCAAUCCCCUGGACCUGUACUGACGCUCAU
rnacentral:rRNA from 1 species